GGCUANANAUGCAGUCGAGCGGAUGAGAGAGCUUGCUCUUCGAUUCAGCGGCGGACGGGUGAGUAAUGCCUAGGAAUCUGCCUGGUAGUGGGGGACAACGUUUCGAAAGGAACGCUAAUACCGCAUACGUCCUACGGGAGAAAGCAGGGGACCUUCGGGCCUUGCGCUAUCAGAUGAGCCUAGGUCGGAUUAGCUAGUUGGUGGGGUAAUGGCUCACCAAGGCGACGAUCCGUAACUGGUCUGAGAGGAUGAUCAGUCACACUGGAACUGAGACACGGUCCAGACUCCUACGGGAGGCAGCAGUGGGGAAUAUUGGACAAUGGGCGAAAGCCUGAUCCAGCCAUGCCGCGUGUGUGAAGAAGGUCUUCGGAUUGUAAAGCACUUUAAGUUGGGAGGAAGGGCAGUAAGCGAAUACCUUGCUGUUUUGACGUUACCGACAGAAUAAGCACCGGCUAACUCUGUGCCAGCAGCCGCGGUAAUACAGAGGGUGCAAGCGUUAAUCGGAAUUACUGGGCGUAAAGCGCGCGUAGGUGGUUUGUUAAGUUGAAUGUGAAAGCCCCGGGCUCAACCUGGGAACUGCAUCCAAAACUGGCAAGCUAGAGUACGGUAGAGGGUGGUGGAAUUUCCUGUGUAGCGGUGAAAUNGCGUAGAA
rnacentral:rRNA from 1 species